rnacentral:lncRNA from 1 species
AGGAUGUGGGCCUGCUGACUUUGAGAAACAAAGCCUCAGGGUGGAGCAGAAGCUGUUCUCUGGUUUUGAAAGGAUGGCAGAGAAAUGAAAUUUGUUCUUAUGGCCGCCGGGCUGUGAAACUAGGGCCAAGCAACCAGGAAGAGAGAGAGCGAGCUGCCUCUUCUUCACCAAAGUGAGGUCUUUGUCAGAGGUGGGUAAUGGCUCAUCAUUCAUGUUUUGGAGACUGAAAAGUGAAUUAAUGAAGCUGCUCAAGAACAGAUUGAAGAUUUAGGACACCAAUAAUCAGCACAGAGCUGGUACACAAGAAGUGCUCGAUAAUUAUUUGUUGAAUUGGCGACUAGUCAAUUGGAUGAAAAAUUGACACAGCGUUGGCAGUCUCAGACCCCAACACACUUUGAAAUACUGAGGUAAGUAGGUAAGUAGUAAGGAAUGUUUUAAAUGUAGCCCAGCGUUGCUCUGAGCAGGGUCAUUGUUUCCCGCCUCACAGAGGCAAUUCCUGAAGUUUCCUGAAGACAAACUUACUGCCUCUAUUUCCUUCUUUACUAUUCCAAGGCUCAGGAAGAAACUGCUCUUCUGCUGCCACAUGAUUGUAGCCUCUCCUUCUGCAGCUGAGACUGUUUGGGAAAUGGCAACUUUUAAGUCCCAUAAGGCUUAAAUGACAUUCAUGGGUUUUAUUUGCUUCAGGGCAGUUAACCAGAUGAUUAGUGAUGUCAUGUUAUGUUACAGAGCUCUCUUGAGAGGGUCCAGGGUCCUGAAUUAACAGUCAGACCCGCACUGUUCACUUGUUCCAUAACUAUCUUUGGAUGUCUGCUAAACCCCAGCUGUGUGCAUGUGAAGAAAGGAGGAGAUGGCUUCCCAGUGCCCCUGUGCAGAUGGCAUUAGCGCCAGUGAGCACUGCUGGGAAUCUGGAUGAGGAAAGAAUGAGUGUGUCCUCAGAACAAAGGUGCCCCAACACUCCUGCAGGAAGCCAGCUGUGUCCUUAUCUUUCCUAGAUAUUUAAAGGUAUUCAAGAGCCAGACCUGUGAAGUGCAGAAGAGGGGAACCUGCAUUGAUUAAGCAUCACUCCUUAUCAGUACUAUUUUUCAUAGAAUCUCAUUUGACAGUUUCCUAAAUUCAACUGAGAAGAGAUUUACAUCUCCAUUUUACAGGUAAAGAAACCAAGACUGUCAAAAACAAACUGAGUUGCCUGACAUCACACUUCAGAUACCCACAGGGACAGGAUGCAAGCCAUGCUGCCUGCCCCUAGGGUCUGCAUUCUUACCAUGACAUGACUGACAAGAAAGUUCAACAUACACUUUUUUUUUCCCCCCAAAGUUGUUUGUCACUAUUGUUUGUGUGGCAAAGAGCCUAAACCAGUCGGACCUGCAACAUCUGUUAUUCCCUGAGGUUGUCACAGGAAGAUAAGAAAACUAAGAGAGUUAAAAACUGAAAGACUGAGUCAGCCAUUCCACAGGACAUUCCAAUAGGAGAAGGUGAGGAACAUCUUCAGGGGAGGAGCAUGUUGGUCUGGAAGUUGACAACAGUCACCUCUUUGCAGAGACUGAGCCCAUUUCCACCCAUGUCAGAAAGUGGGUUCCUGCUGCUUCAUUCAUAUGUCUGGGACGUGUCUAACUUUGUGUGUCUGUGAAGCAGGUCCAUAAUGACUGCCACUAUUACUUCUCAGUAAGAAUGGUGGCGAGAUGCGCUCUAGCCAAGACACAUCACUUCCUAACCAUGUGAUCUUGGGCACCAUGGUCAGUGUCCUCAGAUGACAAAUGGGGAUGGGAGUCCAAGUCCCAGAUACCUUCAUUAUCUAUCAUGGGACAAAUGAGGAAAGCACAAGGAGGCAUUUAUCUGUGAAAGGGCAAUCGUAU